rnacentral:lncRNA from 12 species
UGGCUUAGUGAGUUAAGUGUCUGCCUUCAGCUCAGGUCAUGAUCCUGGGGUCCUGGGAUGGAGCCCUACAUUGGGCUCUCUGCUUAGUGGGGAGCCUGCUUCUCCCUCUGCCUCUGUCUGGCCCCUUGCUUGUGUUGUAUGCCUUGGGACAAUUUUCUUGCUCACUUUCUCUCUUAAAUAAGAAAAAGAUCAUUAAAAAGUUACUUUAAAAAAAAAAGAUUGGGUUAAAAACUAAAAUAUUUAAGGAAGACAUCAUUGAUAAUUAGGAAGUAACUAGUUAACCUAAUUACUAAAAUAGGUGUUGCAAGAACCAGCUUGCAAGAACUGAGAAGUGAAUCCAGGAGAAGGAAGUGGAGGUGAUGAGAAAAGCUACUCUUUCAAGAUGGUGAGCUGCCUGCCUACCAGACAAACUGCCCCUCUGCUGCAGCCUCCAUUUGGUAUCCUACAUGGUCUGGAGGACCACAGGAUGAGACGCAGACCCCUACGCUCCAUUCAGCUGCCUCGGUUUCCAUCUUGUGUUCAGCCUGGAUCCAAUUAUCAGCCUCUGGUCCUCUUACCCACAUGGCUAGGAAGGAUUAUAUACAUUGAAAGCCCAGGUAUUCCCAACCUGUCUCCAGGUUCCAGGAGAACUGAAGAGUCACAGGUAUAGUUCCUGAGUCUUCUAAAUCAAAACCACCUCAUUUGGGAUGCCUGGAUGGUUCGGCAGCUGAGCGUCUGCCUUUGGCUCAGGUCCUGAUCCUGGGGUCCUGGGAUGGAGUCCCGCAUCGGGCUCCCCUCAAUGAGCCUGCUUCUCCUUCUGUUUAAGUCUCUGCCUCUCUUGUGAAUAAAUAAAUAAAAUAUAUAUUAAAAGAAAAACA